CUCUCAAGGGGUAUAUAGUGAGAUCACAUAUAACACAACCUCUCUCACCUUCCCCGUUCUAAGUCUGAUUUCCUUUCUAUCAAAGAAUUUCUAGCAUCUUACUUCCAAUUUAGAUGAGCCAGUGCUGUGCUUUUCCCUUCAACCAAGUAAACAGCCACAUCCCACUGUUCAAGCUGACAAAUGGAACCAAAACUUCUGGUACAAGUGUAUUCAUAUCAAUAAUUUAACCCAAUGUAAUUUAAAAUUACAUUCCUACAAGAUCCAACAUAACUUAUUUACACAGGUAUUCUCCACAUUAGAAUAUAUGAUCAAAAAAGCAUUUUUUUCAGGUCACACUUUGUACUUGUUCCCAAUCCCAUGCUGGGAUUGGAUUCUGAAUAUAUCCUGCAGGCACUAAAGGAUUGUAAGGAUAUAGCAAAUGGGCUGCUUUUACCAAGGGAACUCCCUAAAGUGAGGUUAAGGGGUCAUCUGCCAAAGCAUCAGACAUUCAAGGGGUUUCUUCCAUUUUAAGUGAGGCUCAGUGGAGUUAAGGAUUUAAGAUACCCCUUCAACCAAACCUCUCUAAAAUUCUUAUUCCAAUUCUCAGAAUACUUGUUUCCUGACCAGUGUCUCUACUCACUUGAAAGAUCCAGCAACAUAGCAAAUUCAGCCAAUUCAUAGGGAUAAACAGUUUCUUAUGCAGUAUCUCAGCCUUAAAGCUACAGGACAGGUUGAACAGUGGAUACCUCACAAUUUUAGUCUCCAUACAGAUUGACUUUUCCCUUAUUAGGGAAUUCACAAAGCCCAGAAAAGGUUACAAAACCUGAACAUCUUUAAAAGGGGGCGGGGGGUGCGUUUGUCUAUAACACCAUGUCCUCCAUGGCCAUACGAUCCCUUUCUUUGCUGCCACUCUUACCCCACCCAGAAAGGACAACUCUUCUAGCCCAAAGACCCUUUUCUAGCUCUGAAGAGUAAGACUGUUAACUUUAAAAUGUAAGUAAACUGUAUAUUUGAAAUCCCCAAACUGUAACUUCUUCAACCUACUUUAUGCAUUUGAAAUGGAAUGAGAAUUUUAGAUCAUGUAGGCCAGAGAAUAAAAUUUGCCAAAUAAAACAUUUCCUAGAAAGUGGCAUGUUAAUUGCAAUAGCUUAUAUUCACAUGUGAUUUAGCACUACACAGUUUUUACAUAGAUCAUACCCUAUAAUUUAUAGCAAAGCAAAGCUAAGCAAGAUUAAUUUAUCCAAUGCCAUUCUAAAAGUGGUUAGUGAAAUGAGGCAGGAUUCAGUAUCAGGCUGACCUCAGUGCCCUUGCUUUUAGCCACUUGGUGACCUAUCUUUAGUAAAUACAUACAUAAAGCAGAAGUUUAAUUUGUAAACGUGACCAAAGGCAGCCCAUAGAAAAUUUUGGUACAGAUUACAAAAUUACAGUUAUCCACUGGCCUACUAUACAUUUUCUAUCUGAAACCCUUUAAACCAGUAUACUUUAUACUCGAUUAUUAUCUAUGCAGAUGCAGAAAGCACUUCUAGCUUUAUUUUCUACCACCAAGACUUUCCCAGAACAGUUUCUGAUUUGAUAGGAAAAUCAUUGCAAACUACAAAGCCAGGAUUCUGGGGACUUUAUGUUGGAAUAAUCAUCUCACACUAAGUAUGGGAUCUGUCCACUAUGCUCAGCAUCCCCAGUCUCACACAGCUCUUUCUGUAGGGAACUUCUUGCCACUCUCCUGCUGGAUCAGUGCAUAAUGAUCUGGUGGUAAAGAAGUUUCUGUGGGUCCAAAUAGUCCUUACACAAACCAUUAAUCUCUCAUUUUCACAUUAGAUUUAUUCACUAAAAAAACAAAUUUAUUCCUUUGGCAUCCUCUUAGUGGGGUUAGAUUUAAACUGAGCAGUCUACAUUUUAAUUCACAGACUAAAAAGAAAAAGUACAUUUUUAGCAAAUAUGUUUCGCCAACUGAACAGUAACUUCGGUAUAUUUUUAUUACUGGUCACCAAAUAAAAUUUAGCCAUCUUAUUUUUUGCUAAGAGAUUUAGCAUAAUAUAGUAGUAUGCUUUCAUCUUAGCAAUUGCCUGCUAAAUUGUGUCUAGCCCCAUAGUAGGUAUUUGUCUCCUCCAAAUUCAUGUCUCCUACCCUGAGUACCUCAGAAUGUGACUGUAUUUGGAAACAGGGUAUUUAAAGGGGUAAUCUGGAUUAAAUUAGGUCAUUGAGGAUGGGCCCUAAUCCAAUAGGACUAGUGUCCUUAGAUUAUGCACGGGGGGGGGGGGGGGAACAACAUGCGAAGACAAAGAGAGAAAGAGAGAAAAUGCCAUCGAUAAGCCAAGGAGAGAGGCCUCUAAAGAAACCCCACCAUCUCUGAUCUUGGAUUCCAGCUUCCAGAACUGUGAGAAAAUAAAUUUCUGCUAAGUCACCCAGUCUGUGAUACUUGUUACAGCAGCUCUAGCAAACUAAUAAAGCCAUCUAAUGUUGGAAAUUGGUAUUGAAUGUUGUAAUAUACAAUGGAAGAAAAAU
rnacentral:lncRNA from 1 species